AUUGAACGCUGGCGGCAGGCCUAACACAUGCAAGUCGAGCGAAUGAAGGGAGCUUGCUCCUGGCUUCAGCUGCCGACGGGCGGGUGAUGCCUAGGAGUCUGCCUGGUCUUGGGGGAUAACGUCAGGAAGCGGGCCCUGAUACCGCAUACGUCAUGAGGGAGAACGUGAGGGAUCUUCUGACCUCACGCUUUCAGAUGAGCCUAGGUCGGGUUAGCUAGUGGGUGGGGUAAAUGCCUACCAAGGCGACGUUCCGUAACUGGUCUGCGAGGAUGAUCAGUCACACUGGAACUGAGACACGGUCCAGACUCCUACGGGAGGCAGCAGUUGGGAAUAUUGGACAAUGGGCGAAAGCCUGAUCCAGCCAUGCCGCGUGUGUGAAGAAGGUCUUCGGAUUGUAAAGCACUUUAAGUUGGGAGGAAGGGCAGUAAGUUAAUACCUUGCUGUUUUGACGUUACCAACAGAAUAAGCACCGGCUAACUUCGUG
rnacentral:rRNA from 1 species